CGGCCGCAGCUUGCUUAUGGACAGCGCUAACAGAUCACAGUGGAAGAAACACCAACAAAACAUGUGAGGAUAAGGAGAGUGCUGGUGACCCUCUUCUGGCUGGCCGGCGGUGCAUCCAAUAGGGAAACAGCCGACAUCUUUGUGAUGCCCUUGUGUGCCAGGUGGUGCACAGAGUCAUGAACUCCUUGAUGGGGAUCAUU